AAACCUCUCAGCGCCUCAGUGCCCGGAGGUGGCUUCGCAGCCGAGAGAACUGACGCCCCCAGGCCGGCUGCCUGCUCCCCCACCGCCCGGCCCCACCCCCAAUCCUUCCGGCGCCCCAGCGCCCACCCACCCGGGCGCGGGAGUGGGAGGGUGCCGCGUGGGCAGCCGGAGCAACAGGCGUGGGAGCAGCGCUCCUCGCACUUGCUGGCUCCGGAAGGCUCGGUCGCUUCCCUCUUACCUUCGCCGAAGCCAACCCCAGGCCCCGCUCCCCGCGCGCGCGAGGAAGCUGCGGCCGGGGGCCGCCAAGGCGCAGAGCGCCCAGCAGCGCGGGGAAGCGCCCAGCAGCCGCCGCUCGGGCGGCUCCUCCUCGCCGGCGAAGUCUCGCUCGUCCCUCCUUCACUCGUGAGGUGCAGCCGGUCGCCGCGCAAGCUUCCAGGCUGACCCUGAACUGUCUGUCAAUUGCGUGUGCCAAAGCUGGGAAGAUCCCAAAGAAGACAAAUUGCCUUUACCUCCACGUAAAAGCCACUGACCUACAGCAGUGAGAGGGCAUGACCAGAAGUGGGCCCAGGCCCUGGAUCCUUUCCAGAAGCCCAAAGUUCCCUAUUGCUUAGUACUUGGACCCAGCGGGCGUGUAGUGUCCAGCCGAGAGUCCCAUGACCACAACAUCAGCAGGAGUAGAGCGCUUUGCUGGCUGCUAAGCCAAACCGUGGCCGGCUUUCCCCGUGUCUUCGGCCCCGGUGCUGGGAAUCCCGGGCCUGGAGAUCGCGAAGCAGGCAGCUUCGUGCCUCUGCCGGGACCGGAACGCUUUGGCUUGAGAGAUGGCAGCUCUGAGUAUGGAGAGGCAGAGGAACUGAUGAAUUUGCUAUCAGAAUCCAUUUCUCUCCGUUCAAAAGAAUAUUAACAUAUGAGGAGGGACAUGGGAGACCAUGAGCCAAAAGAGAAGCUAAAAAGCAUCACAACAUGGGCUUUCUGGGGGAUCCAUUGCGACUUAUAAAUCCUGAGGUAGAUUCAGUGUCUUAGUUACUUUUUUAUUGCUGUGAUAAAACAUCAUAAUCAAGGAAAUUU